rnacentral:rRNA from 1 species
UACGUAGGGUGCGAGCGUUAAUCGGAAUUACUGGGCGUAAAGUGUGCGCAGUCGGCCGCGCAAGUCGAGUGUGAAAUCCCCGAGCUUAACUUGGGAAUUGCGCUCGAAACUACGUGGCUGGAGUGUGGCAGAGGAAGGUGGAAUUCCACGUGUAGCGGUGAAAUGCGUAGAUAUGUGGAGGAACACCGAUGGCGAAGGCAGCCUUCGGGGCCAACACUGACGCUCAUGCACGAAAGCGUGGGGAGCAAACAGG